rnacentral:rRNA from 1 species
CCUACGGGAGGCAGCAGUGAGGAAUAUUGGACAAUGGGUGAGAGCCUGAUCCAGCCAUCCCGCGUGAAGGACGACGGCCCUAUGGGUUGUAAACUUCUUUUGUAUAGGGAUAAACCUACUCUCGUGAGAGUAGCUGAAGGUACUAUACGAAUAAGCACCGGCUAACUCCGUGCCAGCAGCCGCGGUAAU